CGGCGAGUGGCGGACGGGUGAGUAAAGCAUAGGAAUCUACCCUAUAGUGGGGGAUAACCUGGGGAAACCUGGGCUAAUACCGCAUACGUUCUGAGGAAGAAAGUUAGGGGCAACUCUGACGCUNNNGGAUGAGCCUAUGUCUGAUUAGCUAGUUGGUUAGGUAAAGGCUGACCAAGGCUAUGAUCGGUAACUGGUCUGAGAGGACGGACAGUCACACUGGGACUGAGACACGGCCCAGACUCCUACGGGAGGCAGCAGUGGGGAAUAUUGGACAAUGGGGGCAACCCUGAUCCAGCGAUGCCGCGUGUGUGAAGAAGGCCUGCGGGUUGUAAAGCACUUUUAUUGGGGAAGAGUGAUGUGGUGGUGAAUAGCCAUUGCAUUUGACGGUACCCAAGGAAUAAGCACCGGCUAACUCUGUGCCAGCAGCCGCGGUAAUACAGAGGGUGCGAGCGUUAAUCGGAAUUACUGGGCGUAAAGGGCGCGUAGGCGGGCUAGUAAGUCAGAUGUGAAAGUCCUGGGCUUAACCUGGGGAUUGCAUUUGAAACUGCUGGUCUGGAGUGAAGUAGAGGGUGGCGGAAUUUCCGGUGUAGCGGUGAAAUGCGU
rnacentral:rRNA from 1 species